AAGAAGGAGGUAAGAAGAAGAAUCGAAGUGAAUUUCAUCAUUUUGUUUGUAAUGUGUUCGUUGUUGUUGUUCUAUUUGUUUGUUUGUUUGU
rnacentral:ribozyme from 1 species